rnacentral:rRNA from 1 species
UACGGAGGAUCCGAGCGUUAUCCGGAUUUAUUGGGUUUAAAGGGAGCGUAGGUGGAUUGUUAAGUCAGUUGUGAAAGUUUGCGGCUCAACCGUAAAAUUGCAGUUGAAACUGGCAGUCUUGAGUACAGUAGAGGUGGGCGGAAUUCGUGGUGUAGCGGUGAAAUGCUUAGAUAUCACGAAGAACUCCGAUUGCGAAGGCGACCUACUGGAACAUUACUGACGCUCAUGCACGAAAGCGUGCGUAUCGAACAGG